UUUUCUUUUUCCUUUCAUUCUCAAACUUCCACUCACCCACAACCCACGCGAAACCCUUCCAACGCGACUCCUUUCAUCCUCAGACUUUCACUCUUUCCAUCAUCGACUCUCUAUCCCCAUAGUCGACUCCUUCUAAUGCGAAACCCCCAGGUUUCCAUCGUCAACUCUCUAUCUCCGGCAUCCUCUCGUCCUCUCUAUCUCCGUCGUCAUGGACUAUCUAUCUCCGGCGAGCUUCUAUCCCCAGGUCUUCUCUUUCAAGCCACCACCGAUUUGUCAAGUUCGGCAACUUGCAAACCAGCAGCGUUCAUCCAUCUGAGUAUAGAAAGCAUCCUUUCUCGUCACAACAAUAUGGUCCUUGAACUCCGAGAUGUUGUAGCUGUGAAAGAAUUAAGCCAAGAGACACUAGUUAUCUUUUACUUGAUGAUGGAUGGAAGCUCUAUUUAGAGUGUUUGGACUCGAAAAUCAUGGAUACUCAUGAAUGUCAACCACUAUACCUCGAAAUUCAAUAAUUUUAUGAGGGUCUGAAUAUGAAAGUGGAACAACAAGUUCCCAAUGUUGUUGGUUGAGAGGCAAUCGCUUAAUGAGGCCAUGGAAGGAGAAAAAAAUGGCAAUCAUCACUUGCCGGAAACUAGAGGACUCUGCUUAUCAGAAGAGCAGACUGUUGCUACCAUGUCAAAGAGACCAAGGAUUGACGCAGGCUAUCAUAUAAUCGACAUGUUUACAGAGCCUUAUAGAUUAAUCCGUCGAUGUGAAGUUACUGCUAUUCUCGUUUUAUAUGGCCUCCCUAGUUAUUGACAGAGUUUAUCCUGGCUCACGAGAUGAUACACGCAUGGCUCAGGCUUAAAGCUUAUCCCAAUUUGAAGCCUGAGGUUGAAGAAGGCAUAUGCCAAGAAGGUUAAGGAUGCACUUAUCGUGUGGAGGAACUUAAAGAGUCUUUCUUGACAACGAGAGACCGGACCAAUGUGGUACGGUGGCAUUUUGGAAGCCUCUAUUGCCAUUGCAGAGCUUGCAAAAUAUGGGUGUCACAGUCCUAUUAUUAGUGGUGGUCAUGGUCUACCAUCACUGGAUUCUGUUGCCAGGUAAGGGAUGAGAAGUAGACAACAAGAUUGUAACAUGGUUUGGCAAGAGGUGACUACGUCCACGAGAAGAGCUGAGAUUUCUUGAGAAGUACAAAGGGAAAAAUAUUACAGAUAAAUUCCUCUAACUCAUUGAUUUCUCUCUUUUUUAAAAUUUCUCUUUUAGAUCCUUUAUAUAUAGGAUGUUUACAAUUUUGUUGAGAGAUAAAAGUAAGAUAAAAUGUUGAUUUCACUUUAAAUAGUUAUUGUUUUAUCACUUUUCAAUAUACUUGAGAAAGAACGGGAUGUCAUAAUCAAGCAUGGAACACAAUCAUGAGAGAGUCGGUGUGUUGCUACACAUGGGAUGCAUAUAUCGCAAUUCAAGAAGGUAUUUUGUUAUGCUUACAAUUGCUAUUCUUCUGGGGUUGGGAAAGAAGUGAGUUACUAAAACACACUCAAGAAGGUACUUUGUUGUUUACUCAAGUCUCUUUGUGAAAAAUAUAAUAUUCUUAUGCUUUGAGCGUUAAACUGCAACUAGAUAAACUAGCUAAAUCUAUAAGGAUCAAUUCUGAUCAAAAUUUUCUCGAUAGUAGAUAGGUUACUAAUUGAUGUUACACUUUUUUUCACUUGAACAGGAUAUAUAAGAGAAAGGAGCAAUAUUGUGGUGAUUGAACCAUAUAGAAGAUAGGUUACUUGUUUUCUUAUCUUUUUUUUCUUCUCUCUUAACAAGGCGAUUCUUUUUUUUUUCAAAAUAGUCUCUUAGCCUUUGCGAGUGGAUACGAAACUAUUUUAGAGUAAGGUUCUUUUGGAAACUAGUCGAAUUAGAAUUUAGGAGCUAACUCAUUUGAGCAAUAAUGAAAUGACUUUGAGUGAAGCUUUUCA